UCCGGCGACGCGCCGCCCCCACCUGCCGGUGCCGCACCGCCCCCCACCUCCCGGCCACGCACCGCCCCACACCUCCUAAGCGAGGCCCGCCCCAUACUCCGACUGGCCAAGCGCCACCGCACCACCGGCCUGCUCACUGGCGAGGCCCUCCUCCCCCACUGCCGCCAUGGCCGUUCGACGCCAUCACCGCAGGCCAUUCGAUGCCACCAUCGCAUGCCGUUCAUCACGGCAGCAACCUGGAUCCGCCCUGCUCCCUUUCCCAGCGCAUCGCCGCCGACCGGCUCCCUCCCCUAGAGUGUCGUUGCGGCCCCAGCCCCACUUCCUUGCCGUGGCACAGCGCCGUCGACUGCGCCCUUCCCUUUCUUCCCCUAGUGCCUCGUGAUGGAAUCCAAGGGAGGGCCAGGCCGUUCACAGCCGCCACCCCCCUCAGUCCAUUCAGCACCGCCAACCAAGGCCGUGCUCCCCUGCCCCCAGCUCACGCCUCCGGUCCCAUGCAGUCCCCAGCACCACCGUCUCGACGUGCCGUCACGCUGUUUUACACGGGAGGUAUUGGCCUCCUUCAUCCGCCGGAUUCGACCAUCCCCUUUUGUUCACCUCCGCCACCCAAGGCCGUUCACCACUGCCACCAGUUCCCGUUCAACACCACCGGCGCAAUCUCACGUGUCAACGACGCCCCUGUCUACCCCACACGAAGCUUCAACAGAGUUCAAGACAGAUUAUCAUCUAUCCAAUACAGACGGAAAAUAGAGUUGGGAGUGGACGACCUUGAGCUUGUCCAACCACCUUCAUUGUGCUUCUCCAGUGCGUUCAUGUGCGAAUUGUGUAUCGCACAGUACAUGUAUUACUACUAGGAAUGUUCACAAAUCAGAACUCAAAGAAGUAUUGACAUCACAACUACUGUAUAUUCAAGGAGUCGGGUUUUGCUCCUGCAUCACCUCGUCUCCUCCGUUCGAAAAAAGCAUCAGAUAAGUUCACACUAUGGUUUCGCUCUUUCGUAUAAUUGAGUCCAGACUCCUUCGGUUUUUGUUCCAUAGAAAUUAAAGAAACCUGUAGAAGUUUGGGGUAUAAAAUUCUAUAAGUUCAAAACCGGGAAACUAGUAAGUUCAGACAAAAUUAAAACUGUCAAAGAACGUGAGAGUUUUUGUCAAAGAACCGAGGCUUCCCCACGCCAGUACAAACUUUUAAAAUGUGUGGAUUUUGUCAAAGCAAAAACUGAAUGGGUGGCAAGAUGAAUGUACUUGUUAUUAAAAGUUUCCUUUUCAACUUCUCCUCUUAAUAUACAUGAACUUGAAUAUCUUUUUAACCAGUUAAAUAUAUAGGGUUGGCAAGACGACUAUAGUUGUUAUAGAAAAAAAAGUACAUUUUUCUUAAAAAAGUUUCUGUUUGAACUUCUCCAAUUAAUAUACAUGAACUCAAUUAUCUUUUUAACAUGUACUCACAUGAGCUCGUUUGGAUUUUUGUGUAUACUUGUAACACAAUCAGUUCAGAUCUCGAGAGACCGUAAGUUUAGUCGGCCUUGGCAUCACGAACGGGUUCAGUUCGAUCUCGCAUAGUGGGCAUGUCCCUGAUGGUGUGUCCGUCAGUUCUACUCGCACGAGUGGACGUCAGAUCACGCAAGUGGGAAGGUCCCCGAUGUAUAUUCAGUUCAACAUCGGGUGCUUCUUCAGUUCAUCGUACUGUGCACUUCAUCUUGCAGGUUUUUUCCCCGUGGAUCCAGCACCUGUUCCUUGUGACCUGUAGCAUCAGGAGACACGAGGUCACCUCCGGUGCCGCUGGUCACGUCAACGCCGUUAAAAAAUGGUGGUCAGUCCAGCUCCUGCAACCAAUACAGGUCGUUGCCCCUUUUGCCACAACGACAGCAGCACAAACACGAAUGUGGUCGUCCUCAACCAGUUCCUCACGAGGCCUCCGCGCAAGCCCUCUCAUGUAUGCUUACACCAAAAGUGCUUACUUGAAGGGGUAGGCAUGGUGCUGAUACUAAAAAAUGGAUGAGUAAUCACAGAGACCAUCAUGGAUGACGACAGGCCUACAGCUACUAUGGUUUUAGUCAAGUGUUUCAGAAAUGCGCAGUACUACUUUGUAUCUGUCACUCUUUGUCAGGGGAAGGUGACUAAAGCUCCAUAUUGCAAUUUCACUAAGCUAUCCGGAUUUCAUUUAGUGUUUGAAAUUAAUUACUUUCUUGUCCAGUCAUACUAGUACUGAUGAAAUAUCAAGUUGACAUUGUGCUCGGCCAUAGGUCCGCCCUUUGUCUCUCCCUUCGGUUCAAGGAGCAGCAACAGCUGGCCUGCAGUGCCGCCAUCUGAAGACAGGGGAGAUGUCCGUAAUCCCCUUAUGGUAAUUAUGCAGGUGCGGAACCUCCCAAGCGCACGACAGCCUCAUCCGUCCAAGUUGAGCACUGGGCGAUGUCCGAGUUGAGCAAUGUGCCCCGUCCAAGUUCCCAUCCAAUGUUGAACAUUCAAUUUUGUCAUGUUGAAUACUAUACCGCUGAGUGCUAUUGACAGUCAGUUAUUCUUCCUUCCAUGCUGCACCUGGAGAGCUUAAUCUCCCAUUGGCAAAUUUAAUCUGUACCAGUAAGUACAUGAUUAAUAUUUUAGGAUAUGUGUGGUUCCAGUAAGUACAUGAGUACUAUUUAGCAUGUUUGGUUGCUUCCGAAACUGAAAAUGUCAGCGUGUACUGAUGCAUUUCAAAAUUGUUGUGUGUUUUCAGGGAAAAAUAUUUGUCAGGUUUUUGGUGGCCAAGUGUUAUUGAUAUGGAGAUGAAUAACUAUGCGGAUGCACUCCUGCUGUUUUUGCAUCUCCUUUGCGACGACCUAUUGCGUGCCCAUGAACAAAAGAGCAAAGCCCGCCUGUAGCCUGAGCUAUUCAUCGCCUCGUCUCAAUGGAUCAGAGUUCAUGGAAAAAAAAUGUUUGGCAUCCUGUAGUAGUUAUAGUCCUUAAGUUACAACAGUUCGAUCAUGAAAAAAACAUCAGUACAAAAAGUAUGGAGCUUCUAACGUUGUAGCGAUUUCGUGUGAACACAAGGAUCCUUCCUGGAAGGUAGUUGGUGGGUUAUGUGCACGCUCUACAUACAUCCAUGCUAGCCUAUCCUGCUGUGUGCGUGUGAUGGAAUAACUCGCAUCAGUUCUGACUUGGAUCCGUUCUUGCCUAUAAUGCAUUGAAAAAUCAUUUGUUUGCCUUCGUUAAGGCUUGAGAAGCAUGUAUCUCAUUUAUAAUACGCUUUGGCAUUUGGUCGAUGAUAUUUAUUGCAUCCUUCAUCACUGAUCUUGAGGAGAAGAUUCAUUUGUGCAUUUCUAUAUUCGUUGUGUAAAUCUGUUGAUAUUUAAUGUUUUAGGGAUUUCAGGAGAGUGGAGGCUUGAGAAGCAUGUAUCUCAUUUAUAAUACGCUUUGGCAUUUGGUCGAUGAUAUUUAUUGCAUCCUUCAUCACUGAUCUUGAGGAGAAGAUUCAUUUGUGCAUUUCUAUAUUCGUUGUGUAAAUCUGUUGAUAUUUAAUGUUUUAGGGAUUUCAGGAGAGUGGAGACCUGGAAGAGCACUUUCAGGCGUUAUUGGCCAUGACAAUAAAUGACCAAAAAGAGCACUUUCAAUAGUCCAGGAAGACAACAACAACGAGAAAAAUGCAAUGAUGCAUCAUGCUGAUAUUGAUGAAAAGCUAUGAUUUUGUGCUCCUGUUUGUUAUUAUGUCAAUGAGAAACCAAUAGUUCUUUUCUUCAGGAUUCGUGUUUUAAUUGGUGAGGGAUAAACAAAUUUUCCUAUUCAAGUGGAAGCUCCCAGUAUAUGAUGGAUGUGGGAGUUAUUUUUA